rnacentral:rRNA from 1 species
CGCCUCUUGACUAAAUAUAAGAGGUCCAGCCUGCCCAGUGACAUAGUUUAACGGCCGCGGUACCCUAACCGUGCGAAGGUAGCAUAAUCACUUGUUCUUUAAAUAGGGACUCGUAUCAACGGCAUCACGAGGGCUGUACUGUCUCCUUUCUCCAAUCAGUGAAACUGAUCUCCCCGUGAAGAAGCGGGGAUAAACCUAUAAGACGAGAAGACCCCAUGGAGCUUUAAACCCACCACACACCUUUACACACUCAAAUCAACAUAGCCAAAAAGGCUUGUGUGUUGGUUUUAGGUUGGGGGGACCGCGGAGUAAAAUCAAACCUCCACGACAGACGGGCUAACACCCUUAUCCACGAACCACAAUUCUAAGAGCCAAUAAACUGUUGUCUAAUGACCCAAUUAUUUGAUCAACGAACCAAGUUACCCUGGGGAUAACAGCGCAAUCUACUUCAAGAGUCCAUAUCGACAAGUAGGUUUACGACCUCGAUGUUGGAUCAGGGUAUCCUAGUGGUGCAGCCGCUACUAAAGGUUCGUUUGUUCAACGAUUAAAACCCU